rnacentral:rRNA from 1 species
UGGAUAAGACAUGCAAGUCGAACGGGAGAAUUGCUAGCUUGCUAAUAAUUCUCUAGUGGCGCACGGGUGAGUAACACGUGAGUAACCUGCCUCUUAGUGGGGGAUAGCCCUGGGAAACCGGGAUUAAUACCGCAUACGAUUGAAAGAUCAAAGCAGCAAUGCGCUAGGAGAUGGGCUCGCGGCCUAUUAGUUAGUUGGUGAGGUAACGGCUCACCAAGGCGAUGACGGGUAGCCGGUCUGAGAGGAUGUCCGGCCACACUGGAACUGAGACACGGUCCAGACACCUACGGGUGGCAGCAGUCGAGAAUCAUUCACAAUGGGGGCAACCCUGAUGGUGCGACGCCGCGUGGGGGAAUGAAGGUCUUCGGAUUGUAAACCCCUGUCAUGUGGGAGCAAAUUAAAAAGAUAGUACCACAAGAGGAAGAGACGGCUAACUCUGUGCCAGCAGCCGCGGUAAUACAGAGGUCUCAAGCGUUGUUCGGAAUCACUGGGCGUAAAGCGUGCGUAGGCUGUUUCGUAAGUCGUGUGUGAAAGGCAGGGGCUCAACCCCUGGAUUGCACAUGAUACUGCGAGACUAGAGUAAUGGAGGGGGAACCGGAAUUCUCGGUGUAGCAGUGAAAUGCGUAGAUAUCGAGAGGAACACUCGUGGCGAAGGCGGGUUCCUGGACAUUAACUGACGCUGAGGCACGAAGGCCAGGGGAGCGAAAGGGAUUAGAUACCCCUGUAGUCCUGGCAGUAAACGGUGCACGCUUGGUGUGCGGGGAAUCGACCCCCUGCGUGCCGGAGCUAACGCGUUAAGCGUGCCGCCUGGGGAGUACGGUCGCAAGAUUAAAACUCAAAGAAAUUGACGGGGACCCGCACAAGCGGUGGAGUAUGUGGCUUAAUUCGAUGCAACGCGAAGAACCUUACCUGGGCUUGACAUGUAAUGAACAACAUGUGAAAGCAUGCGACUCUUCGGAGGCGUUACACAGGUGCUGCAUGGCCGUCGUCAGCUCGUGUCGUGAGAUGUUUGGUUAAGUCCAGCAACGAGCGCAACCCCUGUUGCCAGUUACCAGCACGUCAAGGUGGGGACUCUGGCGAGACUGCCCAGAUCAACUGGGAGGAAGGUGGGGACGACGUCAGGUCAGUAUGGCCCUUAUGCCCAGGGCUGCACACGUACUACAAUGCCCAGUACAGAGGGGGCCGAAGCCGCGAGGCGGAGGAAAUCCUGAAAACUGGGCCCAGUUCGGACUGUAGGCUGCAACCCGCCUACACGAAGCCGGAAUCGCUAGUAAUGGCGCAUCAGCUACGGCGCCGUGAAUACGUUCCCGGGUCUUGUACACACCGCCCGUCACAUCAUGGAAGCCGGUCGCACCCGAAGUAUCUGAAGCCAACCGCAAGGAGGCAGGGUCCUAAGGUGAGACUGGUAACUGGGAUGAAGUCGU